rnacentral:rRNA from 1 species
UACGUAGGGUGCGAGCGUUGUCCGGAAUUAUUGGGCGUAAAGAGCUCGUAGGCGGUGUGUCGCGUCGAUCGUGAAAACUUUCAGCUUAACUGGGAGCUUGCGGUCGAUACGGGCAUCACUGGAGUUCGGCAGGGGAGACUGGAAUUCAAGGUGUAGCGGUGAAAUGCGCAGAUAUCUUGAGGAACACCGGUGGCGAAGGCGGGUCUCUGGGCCGAUACUGACGCUGAGGAGCGAAAGCGUGGGGAGCGAACAGG